rnacentral:rRNA from 1 species
AUGGCUGAACAAAAGAGAAGGGCUUUUAAUUGGGUACACGUACUUGUGCUCCUCCUCGGACCAGGGUAUGCCGCGCCGGCGCUCCUCGCCGCGGGGCUUGCCGGCGCGGCGGCCGGGUGCGGCGGCGGCUGUGCAGCCGUCGUCGUCGUCCCAGCAGCCGGGCGUGUCCACCGCGCCGCGCUCGAUGAGGUCGACGUCGGCGACGAGCGCCUGGUAGUGCUCCCAGGCCUCCUGCGGGGUGCGCCCCGGGAGCCGCGCCGCGACGCGCUCCCACCGGUCGGGCGCCUGGUCCGGGAGCGUCACCAGCGCCGCCUCGAACGCCUUGUCCUCCUCCUUGGCCCACGGCCUCCUCGCCGCCGGCGCGGCCUGCUGGUAGUACAAGUCCAUGGCUGGCCUCUGGUCUCUCUGGCUCUCCUCCCUGCGGCGACGACACGACACCCAGGUGCCAGGUGCGCGGCGCUGCGCCAAUUAACUAGCGCGCGGGUCGGGGGUGGCGUUGCGUGUGCUCGUGGACGGGGUGGCUGGCUGGGCGGCGCCGUGUGGCUGCUUGGUUUGGUUCGUUGUUGCGCGUGGGAACGGAAUUCUGCUUUAUAA